UACAGAGGGUGCAAGCGUUAUUCGGAAUUACUGGGCGUAAAGCGUGCGUAGACGGUUAUGUAAGUCGGGUGUGAAAGCCCCGGGCUCAACCUGGGAAUUGCAUUCGAGACUGUGUAGCUAGGGUACGGAAGAGGGAAGCGGAAUUUCAGGUGUAGCGGUGAAAUGCGUAGAUAUCUGAAGGAACACCAGUGGCGAAAGCGGCUUCCUGGUCCAGUACCGACGUUCAGGCACGAAAGCGUGGGGAGCAAACAGG
rnacentral:rRNA from 1 species